AGUAAUUUAUUGUAUUGUAAAAUUAUUUAAAAUAAUGUUUACAACACAUAAUUUAAAACAUUAUAAGUCAGUGCUUACACUUUAGGUUUUUAAGAGAUUUGUUCUCUAUAAAGUUUUUUUAUUUACAAUAUAUUUUUCAAGGAGUUCCAGCAAAAGAGGUAGCAGAUGGCAUGCUGUCAACUAUAGACUUAAACUGGAGCCUGGCAGAUCUAGGGCCCUAUUUUAACGAUCUGAAACGCAAGUGUCAAAGCGCGAGGCGCAAGUAACUUUGUGGGCGGGUCUCGGCGCAAAUCUAAAAUGGGUUGGUCUGAAGUAGCUUCAUUAUUCAUAGGUGUGGUUUGGGCGUAACGUGAAAUAAACCAAUCAGAGCGUCAUCCAACAUUCCCUUUAAAAGCAGGUGCGCAAGUUCCAUUAUGGAUUGCUAUUAUUAUGGCGUAUUUACCAGGCGCAAAACUAAACUUAACUGGUAAGUUGAAGACUAAGGUUUUUAAUGUACUUACAUUAUGGUAAAGGUGAUUUCACAGUCUUUUUUUUUCAGUCUUUCAGUCGAUUUUUUUUCCUGGUUCUUGACAGACAAACCAAUUUGUCAGAUGUCCUUAUAUACAUAUAUGUCUUGCCACUAUUGGGCAAACAGGUCUGAUCCUUGAUUACUACAAUUAGCCUGAAUAAUUUGUAAGCUAGAUUUAUGCCUAUUUUUUCACAUCUUCGUGGCACACCACAAUGAUUUCCGUCAUCUCAUGUGUUAAUAUGUUUUUAGUGUAACAUUUUAUGAUUUGCAAAAAUAACUGUUGCAUCUGUGUAGAUUAAAUGAGCAAAGUGUAUGCGCGUUGUGCACGCUAUACAUUAUGGUCAAGCAUGCGCCCUUAAAAUAGCAUAAUGAACAACGCGCAACUGACUUUGGACUAGGUUUUUUUCUGGUCAGUGGCGCAAUUGUUUAAUGGAACAGCAAAAUAGCACCAGGGAUUGUUUGCGCCGGAACACGCCUUCUUUUAUGCGCUGAACCGCCCAGGGAGCGCAAGUUCAUUCACUAGUUUAGCGACGUGCUUCUGUGGAGGGAAAAGCGCGCUUUGCGCGGGUGCAAAAUAGGAAUGACACUUGCGUCGGUGUACAAAGUCAAUUGCGCUGGGUGCAAGAUAGGGCCCCUAGACCAUUUUGUAUGUCAGAGCUUCCCUACGAUUAGUUUGAAUGUUGUGGGCUUUGAGUUGGCUAAAGUUGACAAUGGUAAAAAAAUCAAGAAGGUCCAAGCACACUCUGAGAGAUCUAAAAAAAGGUUGUCGGGAAAAGCAGGCUUUAUGUUCUUCCUCGUGCUUAAGUGAGCCAGCUACAGAACAUAAUGUUUAUUGCUUUGGUAACUACUGAUUUUAUGAUUUUAUCCAUGUUUUCUGAAAUAUUGUAACAAAACAUGGUGAUGCAACAGACAAGCAACGUGCCUAAGAGUCAACCUCCCAACAUUACUGCAACAGAUCCUGCAAGCAGUAUACAGGAGAUGCUUCCUCUAACAGCAAGUGAUUAAGAGAUCCUGCAAGCAGUCUACAGGAGAUGCUUCCUGUAACAGCAAGUGAUUUAGAGGUUGUGUUUGACUACAUUGGCUCACAUCCUUUUACCAGUGAAUAUUUUUACAUUAGGGCAGCUACAUCCUCUGUAUAUAUUAUGAACACAGUUUAUGGAACUCUUCUUGAUCACUACUUUACUUUCCCCAUGAACAUUCAUGUUCGAAGGAUGGACAUGCAGGAUGUGCAGGUAAAUACAUUCCCAUAAGUAUUUCUAACUAUUACAGAAUGUUCUAAAGUCACACAUAAUUUAAGGGUCCAAUUACAUUACCAUUGUUUGACAUAUAACGUAUUAACAAAAUUGGAUACAUGACAGAUUUUUACUUGUAAUAAUUUAUGCUUGUUUUGUGUUAUUUUCUCAAAGGACAUUUUUCAACAGCAAAAUCUAGUUGUUUUGCGAACAUCAGAUCAAUCUGAAGUUAAUGAUGACCUUGAAGUACCUUCUCUGGAAGAUAUGUACUUCGAUCACAUUCAGGUUGUAGGUGACUUACAAGUAGUAGAUCCUGGAUCAGCAACAUACUCCAACUUCAUUGACAUAAUGCCAGACAAUGAGUGUAGUAGAGUAGGCGGGGCGAGUCCGUGGUUCGAGUCCGGUGAGUAAUUGUGAAUUAGCGCCAGCUGUGCGCACACCGGCCUCGAAUCACGUAGGAGAUGGGAGCAUAUAAAAUGAACGAGCGACCGGACCGUCGAGGAGAGAGGACCGGGCCCGAACUUAUGUUAUGUUUGUAUUUAUAUUAUGUUUUGUUCGCCGGCGGUCGUCCGUGAGGGGCCGCCGGCUGUUAUAUUACUUUAUUAAAUGUUUAAAUGUUUGCCGGUUCCCGCCUCCUUCCUUCCAUUUUAUUGAGAUUUAUUACAUUGGUGCCGAAACCCGGGAGGAAGGAGAGACAUGCUGUCGGAGAGUCCUCGCCGCCGAGUGGCCUCGCGGUGCCGGAGAGUUCGGGCAGCGCGGACGAAGGGCGUCCGCGAAGGAGAGUACUCCGGCUGGUUGAGGAACGAGCGGCAGCAUGUCGGGGAACCGGAUUUUUUUUUUUUCCUCUCUCCCCUCUCUCUUUCCGGUCGCUCCGAGGGCUCCCGUCUCCGUUGUCUCGUCUCGUCGCUGCAUACCCCCCACCCCCCCCGAGGGAGGGGGAGGGAGCUUGCACAGUCGCGGGGGUACCCCCCGGCCUGUGAGGGGUGAUGGGGGUAUGUAGUAGAGUAGGCGGGGCGAGACCGUGGUUCGAGUCCGGUGAGUAAUUGUGAAUUAGCGCCAGCUGUGCGCACACCGGCCUCGAAUCACGUAGGAGAUGGGAGCAUAUAAAAUGAACGAGCGACCGGACCGUCGAGGAGAGAGGACCGGGCCCGAACUUAUGUUAUGAUUGUAUUUAUAUUAUGUUUUGUUCGCCGGCGGUCGUCCGUGAGGGGCCGCCGGCUGUUAUAUUACUUUAUUAACUGUUUAACUGUUUGCCGGUUCCCGCCUCCUUCCUUCCAUUUUAUUGAGAUUUAUUACAUUGAGAUUGAGAUGAUGCCAGACAAUGAGAUUCUAGAGCUAGAUGAACACCUAGUUGCUUCUGAAGUUGUGUAAGUAGCUUAUACUGUGCUUGAAAUCAUUGCUUUAAACUAAUUUGUGUGCGCUUACAUUUUUUUGUAUACCUUAUGGCAUUGUUAGGAACUUGUUCUAAAGAUAAUAUACUUUUGGAACUUGGGAAAGAACUAAACUAAAAUUCAAGUUGCUGAAUUAAUAUAAAUAGAAAAAAUGUGCUGGAUGGUGCACUCAGAGCGUUUAGUCGGAAGUCCUACAAUCCCUUCAAGAGUAUUUCUGUAAAAUUCUCUGAUGAAUUUGGAAAUUUUGAGGAAGCUGUUGACUUGGGACUCCCAAGGACAGAGUUCCUCACCUUGCUUACAGAGGAGAUUGAGAAAUCUUCAAUGUUUGCAGGCCCAGAUGGACGGAAAAACCUUGCUCUUGACUCAGUAGGCAAGUCACCAUAUAACUAGGAUUUUCAGUUUGAGUGGAAGAAUGUUUAAGACAGUUUUGACUGAUACUGAAUCUGGUGCGUCAUCCUUCACAACGAUACUACUUAAUUGGAAAAGCAAUUGCUUCCAGCAUGGUUCAUGGGGGACCAUCUUCAGGAUUUUUUUCAACCACCUUAUUUGAGUGCAUCACCAAUGGCAAUGUGUCACCCACCAUCGAAUAUGUGACUGACUUUGACUUGACAGCUAAAUUCACAACGUAAUUUUUCUAAAUGAAAUAACUGUACAUUGUCGUAUUCAAACAUGGUUUGACUUUCAUUUCACAAUAUACCUAACGGGUUUAAAAAUGCUUAUAAUUCCGCAGAUUUCACAUGCUGCAUCCAUGGAGGAGUUUUAUCAGGCAACAGAGGGUAUGAGUGAAUACCUAGCAAAUGCAGGCUGCCUUCAAGCUGUAAAGUGCCUUCAAGACAAAGAUCUGCUUUAGCAAGACAUCCUCUUGUUCCAAGUUGUGAACAGACUCCAAGGUCCAAUUGAACGAAGGUAGCUCUAUCUGCUCACUGGACAAAAUCCUUAUGUUUGCAACUGGAUGUAGUGUUCUGCCUGCCAUUGGAUUAAAGCCACAGCCAUCCAUUGAGUUCUUACACGCUGUAGAUGCCUUACCUUUGUUUGCUUCAGUGAGAGAGAAGUUUCCAACUAACACGUGCGUGAACUGCUUGCGUCUCCCCUUGCACAAGGACUAUGCCAGUUUUAAGUCGAAUAUGGACUUUGCCAUUUGCAACACACAAGGAUUUGGUCAGGAGUAGGAUAAAAAUUAUCUAAGA